rnacentral:rRNA from 1 species
GACGAACGCUGGCGGCGUGCUUAACACAUGCAAGUCGAACGGUAAGGCCCUUCGGGGUACACGAGUGGCGAACGGGUGAGUAACACGUGGGUGAUCUGCCCUGCACUUCGGGAUAAGCCUGGGAAACUGGGUCUAAUACCGGAUAGGACCAUUGCCUGCAUGGGUGGUGGUGGAAAGCUUUUGCGGUGUGGGAUGGGCCCGCGGCCUAUCAGCUUGUUGGUGGGGUGAUGGCCUACCAAGGCGACGACGGGUAGCCGGCCUGAGAGGGUGACCGGCCACACUGGGACUGAGAUACGGCCCAGACUCCUACGGGAGGCAGCAGUGGGGAAUAUUGCACAGUGGGCGCAAGCCUGAUGCAGCGACGCCGCGUGAGGGAUGACGGCCUUCGGGUUGUAAACCUCUUUCAGCACCGACGAAGCGCAAGUGACGGUAGGUGCAGAAGAAGGACCGGCCAACUACGUGCCAGCAGCAGCCGCAG